GGGCUUGUAGCUCAGUGGGAAGGCGUUCUGCCCUGCAUGCAGAUGGUCUCAGGUUCAAUCCCUGCCAUCUCCA